UUGAAACACUAGUUCUCAUACGAUCACCGAAGAUAAGCAAUGUGGAACCUGGUCAUUACCUAGAUGGGUCAUCGCUUGGGAAUACCAGGCACUGCAUG